UUUCAUGUUCUCCGCAUAAGUUAUGUUCUUCAGUGCCAUUCUAUUACUGUAAUGCUGAUCUUGGUUGGGGCUAUGUAAGAUAUGCUGUUAAGGAAGAAAGAGAAAAAAGACAGUAGAAAACCAUCCCUUUCAUCUGUGGUAGAUUUUAAAACAAAUGGUGACAGAAUUAUGGUUCAACGGCUCUUGCAUUCGUCACACCUGCAUGAUUAACACAUGAAUCCUGACAAGACUUUGCAACAUACCGGAUCCAUCUUAAGCCAAGGAACAGUAGAUUGAGUUCAAAGAACCAAACAACCUUGGAACUUCGAGCAUCAGUUAAAAACAGUGGCUGUGGGGCCAGAGAG